rnacentral:lncRNA from 1 species
AGCUAUUAUGUUGACAAUGGAUAAAUAGCUAUAAACCUGUUCAACACUACACAGUGAGGUGCAGUACAGAUGUUGCUGGUUAUAAAGCUAACCCUCCCACUCAGCCCACUCCAGCUGCUGCCCUAAUCAGGUGGAGCCCAGUCCUGCCCAGAUCCUGUCAUGUCUGCUUCACACAGCUGCCAGAACAGACAACACAAGCAGGAGACAACAAUAAUGCAAAUCUCUGUGUCUCUCCUCCUCAUCUUCAUAGGCUCCACUACUGCCAAAAAACAAGGGAAAUUUGGCAUUUUUACUGCCUGUACCAUCAACAAUACCCUCAGGUUGGAAUGCAUGUAUGCAGUCUGUAAAGACUCUCCAUCCUACAGCUGUGAAUUCUGGAAAGGAAAUGAGACUCUGGCUAAAGCAUCAGAUAAAAUGUGCAGGCACAGUAUCGAAGACCACCGCAAGCAUCAUGGCAAAGAGAUCACAAACUACACAUGCAAGCUGACCAGGGUGCAAAGGGUGGAGGUGGUUAAUAUCACCAUUGACUAUGCAAAAAGAACAGGAAAAGGUAAAAUCAAGGACUGUCGUGCCACCACAGGCUUACUGCUACACCAGACUCCAACCUUACUGUGGCCUGUUGUGAUCCUGCCUCUGUGGACAGUCCUUGUUACAGACAGACAGGCAACAUGAGGGAUCAGCUGUGGAAGCAACUACAUUUACAGCAAUCUAAUCUUUUCAAGUUAGGUUGCACUUUGUUUUUGCUUUGUUUGCAUACACAAAAAAUGUUUAUGAGGAGGGAAAGAAUAUUUGAUAUGGGGCUAAUUUAUAUUGGGAUGACGAAAAAUGUUUUUCACAAUUGCUAACAUGAGUUUAGCAGGCAUUGAUGAACAAGAGGCAACCUCUAGGAUGGAGAAAUGAAGCUUAAAGUCAGAAACUGCAGCAGGUCCCUCGAUGGCCAGUGACUGGCUCCAGAAAUGAAUCAAUCUGCAUAAAGAUUAAGAUUAACUUUAUUAAUCCCCAUGGGGAAAUUAGGUAUAAACAUCUCACUUUAUAGCAGCAGACAUAACCAUGUCUACAUCCUGGAGGGUUUUGGUCUCUUCUUCUGUAAGACACCUGCACAGGGAUUAAUAAAAAAAACCUCACCAUCA